AUUGAACGCUGGCGGUAUGCUUAACACAUGCAAGUCGAACGGUAACAGGCCUUCGGGCGCUGACGAGUGGCGGACGGGUGAGUAACGCGUAGGAAUCUGCCUUAUAGUGGGGGACAACGUGGGGAAACUCACGCUAAUACCGCAUACGCCCUACGGGGGAAAGCGGGGGAUCUUCGGACCUCGCGCUAUCAGAUGAGCCUGCGUUAGAUUAGGCUAGUUGGUGGGGUAAAGGCCUACCAAGGCGACGAUCUAUAGCUGGUCUGAGAGGAUGACCAGCCAGACUGGAACUGAGAUACGGUCCAGACACCUACGGGUGGCUG
rnacentral:rRNA from 1 species